GUUGAAUGAGCUGGUGGUGGGAGACACUAGUGGGAAGCUGUGCAUCUAUAAAAACGAUGACUGUGAUCACGAGGACAUGUGUGGGCAUGUUAACGUGUUGAAGUGGGAGAUGUUUGCAACAAAGGAAGGAUUUGCUUUUGUGCACAUGUAAGACGGAGACGGGCGCUUGUCCUUGU